rnacentral:rRNA from 1 species
GAUGAACGCUGGCGGCGUGCCUAAUACAUGCAAGUCGAGCGAACGGACGAGAAGCUUGCUUCUCUGAUGUUAGCGGCGGACGGGUGAGUAACACGUGGAUAACCCACCUAUAAGACUGGGAUAACUUCGGGAAACCGUAGCUAAUACCGGAUAAUAUUUUGAACCGCAUGGUUCAAAAGUGAAAGACGGUCUUGCUGUCACUUAUAGAUGGAUCCGCGCUGCAUUAGCUAGUUGGUAAGGUAACGGCUUACCAAGGCAACGAUGCAUAGCCGACCUGAGAGGGUGAUCGGCCACACUGGAACUGAGACACGGUCCAGACUCCUACGGGAGGCAGCAGUAGGGAAUCUUCCGCAAUGGGCGAAAGCCUGACGGAGCAACGACGCGUGAGUGAUGAAGGUCUUCGGAUCGUAAAACUCUGUUAUUAGGGAAGAACAUAUGUGUAAGUAACUGUGCACAUCUUGACGGUACCUAAUCAGAAAGCCACGGCUAACUACGU